rnacentral:lncRNA from 13 species
AAUGUUAAAUGUUUUCAGAAGUUCAUGGCAGUAAGGUCAACAGAGGAAUCAAGACAAUUUUAUCUGAACAGUGAAAACUCACAUGGGGUCCCAAAAAGCCUGGGACUUCCAUCUGCUGUUGCAUUUAAGGGUCUGACUUCAGAACGCAAAGUGGAGAUCCUGAAGAACUGA